GUUUUUUAAGGAUCUCUUUCCCAACUACGGGGAAAGCUUAGUGCUCAUAAAAAGAAAAGGAAAAAAAACAAGGAGGACGGAGGGCCCUGGCUAGUCUCUAAGCACCGAAUGUGUAAGCGGUUGCUACACAAGUUUCCAGAUCCUGACUUCAAUCUCAGGGGCCAGAGCUGUGUGUGCUCCACAAAAGGCCCUUUGAAACUCCUUCCCCUUCCUGGUGUGACAAAGCCCUGGGUGACUGACCUUUGAGGGACACACACAUUGGUUUGGCUUGGCCUCUGAUCUCCCAUGAAGGACUGUGAGCCAUGCUCAUCUGUCUGGGAUCUGCUGCCUACUUCUCCAUUAUAUUUAGCUCUUUGGUUAUUUUCCUAAUGAGCUGUCUGUUUGCCUCCAGCCUUCCAGCCAGAAGAUGAAUGUGUGCAAAUCAUAAACUAAGUAUCCAGUGCUUGGCACCUACAAGGAGCUGUUCUAUACAUUUUGCAAUCCAGACAUCUAGAGAUGCUGCUGGGGCUGUCUCUUUACUCUGUUGGCCCCGCGGCUGGGCAGGAGCACAUCCCUGUAGCUAGAGCUGACCCUAGCCUUGCACUCACAUUCUCUCAAUGACUACCUUGACAGCUGCCCUUCCCCACCUCUUCCCACCUUGCUAGCUUUGCUAAGGCAGCUAACAGGCAGACCACGCACAUGCUUAGGGCAGCGGCAAUUCAGAGAGAAAAGAAAAACUGAAAAUAUUUUAAUCAACCAGGUAGUUACCAUGGGAGAAUUUUUUACAUUUAUGUUGUGGCUUUGAAUAGUCUAUUUUGAAAUAUAUAUGGCGGGCUGGGGGAAAAGGAAUCAAUAUUUUUGCUUCAUGGGGACUCUAGGGUUCAUAUCAGGCCCUGCUUUCUAGUGUCCUACAGAUUGGUUUUUGCCCCUCCCUGCUCCCCAGGGCAUCUUGCACCCAACGUGGACGUGACUCAGAGUUCAAUCCUGCUGGAAAUCUGGGGCUUGUUGAGCCUCAAUCUACCUUAACAAGCACUUUUUAGCUCAUGUGGUUCCACCCUUGCACAACCCCAAUUACCUAAGGAAAUUGUAGAAACCCAGUAUUUUCCGUCUUUAGAGCCAAAUGAUAUGUUGGUAGUAGUUUGGAAUCUUUAUUUUCAUGGAGUUGAUGAACACCAAAAUAUAUACAGCUAUCUUUUCACACAUAUAGAGUAUUGCAUGACCCCCACCUUUCUUGUCUUCUAAAACACUUACAUGCAUAUUUUAACUAGGUCACACAAGAUUCACUAUAUAAAAUGGACAUGAUUAUUUUUUAUUUUAAGGCCUAGGACGUGCUAUGUAACCAAGUUCUCCAUAACUGUGAGAAGCAAUUUGUACGCCAUGGUAGAAAAGCCCACCAUUGAUGUCCAUGAGAGUCAACCUGGAUGGGCACGCGGCUGCUGUGCCUAAGUGGUUUUCUGUACAAGGCAACACCAAAGGAUAAAGGAACCCAGAGAAGCUUUGGGGUUGAUUUAGCAGCUGUUUGAUAUCAUCAAAUACUGUAUGAGGGCUUGAUUUCAAAAAACUUUGAUAUAUUAAAAAAUAUACAAAUUUGCACAAAAAAUAAACCAGGUAGACAGUGUACAUCUUUUUUUUUAUGAGGAAGAUUGGCCAUGAGCUAACAUCUGUUACCAAUCUUCCUCCUUCUGCUUGAAGAAGAUUGUCCUUGAGCUAACAUCUGUGCCAAUCUUCCUAUUUUGUAUGUGGGACACUGCCACCGCAUAGCUUGAUGAACAGUGUAGGUCAGCACCACAAUCUGAACCUGCAAACCCUGGGCUGCCGAAGCAAAAUGUGCAAACCUAACCACUUUGCCACCGGGCCAGCUCCUAGAGAGUGUACAUCUUUUAGAGGACUCAGAACAGCACUUCUUAGGAAAAAAAAAACUACAUUGCCCAGAUAUAGUGUAGGCUUUUAAAUUUAAUUUAUAUAUGACUUUUAGAAACAGUUUUGGAAAAAAUAAAAGUAUAUGCAGAAGAUCUAUUCAUUUGAUUGGGAGUGAGAACUUUUAAAUUAUACUUUCUGAGCUCAAACAGCCAGUACAUCCCCUCACCGCCAGCACUCUCCCCAUGCCUUUUCUUUCCCUGGUAACUUUGUGCUGGGCAGGAACGAAGGGGCCGAAGUUGCAAGGUCUACUUGUCAUUGUGUGCCUCCCUCUCCUCCUCCUGCCCUGACAGGAAGAAACCACGGGACCUGGGAUUUUGUAAACAGGAGGUUCUUGCUCAAUGCUCUAGGGAAGGUAAACCCAAGCCUUGGCAAAGGGGAAAACGCCUCCCAGUUUCCAAAACUGGACAGUCAGGCCUGGUUUGAACCAUGUGAUCCAGCUGCACCGGAGUAAGUCUGGGUGGCCACUGUGGCCACAUUAAAGAAAACACACAGCAACUUGAGGACAUUUCCCCUGAAGUUUUGGAUGGAAAUGCAAGUGGGAGGAGAAGCUGUGACGGGCCCCAACCUCUUACCCUCCAGGUCCCUGGUCGCCUUAGGACCUCCAGGACACACUGCUCCCACUGUGGUUUGGAAUUUGCUUGUUGAGACAAAGAGUUUGUUGAGCCUUACACAUGAAUGAAGAGCAUGUGGAGAAGUCAGCUCGCUGACCACUGCUUCCCCCAGCGAUUUCUCUCCCACAGCCCUCACCGAAAGCCCUCCGUGGAAAAAUCAAUCUCCUGGCUUUAUAUCUGCCCUCUGGCCUAGUCAGAGGUUGCCAAGCGCAAAGCACUACGGGGGACUCCUGUCGCAAAGCAAACAGGGUCUGAGCGGCCGGAAGGAGAGAGCUGCUCUUUAAAAGCUUUUAACUGCUGUUAUAUUUUAAAAACCACUUACCGAGGAGGUGAAUUAUUUUCUACUCCUCCUUCCCCAGAAGCACAGCCAUUAAGGUUACCUAGAAACCUGUCCAGGAAGCAUGUGGCAAAUAGCAACCGUGCAAUAGAAACAUCCGGAUCUGUCAUCUAAUAGGAGAUGGUAUUGGCAAGGUCAUAUUUGGGUAGAGGCGGAAUAGGAAACUUAAUGAGUUUGCACGUCCUGGCUAUUUUGGGGGCUAAUGACCUGUGGUUUAGAAGGGGGCUUUUUUCUUAACUCGUCUGGGAGGGCGCUUGGUUGGUAUAAGUUGGAAAUGAGAGAGAUUUGAGAUUGGAUGCUACUUGUCCUGGAGACUACCCCGUGGAAGGACAAAGCACAGGGAGAAUUCAAAGGCUCAGAAGGCGUGGCCUCUACUCUGGGAGAACUUCCGUCUAUUGGGGAUGUGAUGGACACAGAGGAUGACCUGAGAACAAUUCUCUUUUUAAGUUUCAGAAGCAAAAUAAUAGACCAUGAAGGAAUAUCUACUAGGGAGACGAGAUUUCAAGGUGAAGGUGAUUUUCAAUAAGGUCUUGAGAGACACUGAGGACAGCGAAGAAGAUGGGAGAAAAGCCGAGGGGGGCAACUGGCAUGGCACGUCAGCCAGGUGCCUGUGCUGAGGACGUGAAACAAAAUAACCAGAAGAUGUGUUGACAGAAUGAGAAAAGUACAGUGAUAUUUGGAUGUUUUAAUUUUCAUGAUUGUACGGGUGAAAAGGGGAGAUAACUCCUGUUUCUUCAUACCUCUAGCUCCAGACUUUUGGAAAAAAGCCUCCACAUUAUGAAACCUGUUUUUUGCUUUGUUUCUGUUUGGUUUUGUUUUGUUUUGUUGUUUUUUUUUUUUUUUUUUUUUUUUUUUUGCUGUUUCUAAAGAGCUUAUUUCUAAUGCGUAUUUCAUUUCCAACCAACACCCUUUCUAUGUCAGAUGAGGUGAUAAAAUUUGUAAUUAUAGAGAAGCAGCAAAACCCUGACUCAGCCACUUCACCGCGUAGCCAGGCCACAGACACAGGGCGUCGGGAGAGCCAGCCGCUGUGGAAAAGGCAGCAGGGAGAGGGGACCACCAAAACAACGGCGUAGGAAUAUUUGCUGCUCCGGUUCCUUUUUGCUUUACCCCAGAAUAUAUCUUUUUUCCAAUUCAGCAUGAAGAAGGGUAACUAAUGAAACUGUAAUUCUGGAGGGUAAGCUAUCUACAAAACUUGUGAAAAAUCAGCUGAAAGCCGUAAGGCGAGCUAUGGGACAAUUCCUGGACUUUCCACGCUGACUGCUUUCUGUUCAAAAGUCGUCACUUCUACCAGGGCAUCUGCGUGAGUCAGUAAAACACGGCCACAGAGGCUUGAGCAACCACGGAGAAUUAGACGCUAAAAACACAGACAGGAAAUCUCCAUAACGCAAACAAUUCUCAGGAAGGGAAGAGGAGUUCAUGAUAAAAGCCUGGCUGACAUACCACACUCCUCUCAAAUUACAGAAAACCCACGCUGUCAACCUGAGACGAUUGAGCAACCGUCUAGCCAGUCUCGCGGGCUGCCUGCGUGCUUGCCGAGAGAGCGCUGGCGUCAGCAGGCAGGGAGCGCUCACCUGAGGCCUUGGCCAGCCUUCUCCGAUGGUAGGAGGCACCUGCCCUCAGCUCCUCUGAAAACGGAUGAGGCUCUUACACACCUGCACCUGGUCUCCCCAGUGCCCUUGCGAAGGAGAGGAGGCAGGAGUUCCAAGGCUUGAAUUGGAAGUCGAAAGGCUUAGUUGCACCUCUGACGUACCGUGGUCUCAGGAAAUUCACUUGAGGCCCCUGUAAGACUCAGUCCCCCCAUCGUCAAAAGGAUGUGAAUCCCCCUUACCUAUUCUACAAAGGUCAGGCGCAAAAAAAAAAAAAAGUUCUGGGUGGAUCUGCCAGUUCAUGGCCGCCUCACCUGCGUUUCAAUCAUUGUCUCUGUGAACAAGCCCCUCUUGGGUUUCCUGCCAGAAAAAUAUUUGGCAAGUUUCGCUUGAAUUUAUACAGGACACACUUUUGAACAUGUAAACAAUAUACAAGGCCAACUUGUUUUGGGAGCUACGAAUGACAAAAGUCUCGAAAUCCAAAUCUGUGCCAAGUUAGUUUUGCCCUUAAAAAAAAAGUGCUUAUGAAAUACUCGAAUCUCUUCAGUUAGCACAAAUACAAUGGGUGACCUAAAAGUUCAAGUAAUGGCCCAGAGUGAGGGGAAGUGUAUGUAAUGUUGACUCCGGUUUACAGAAAGUGAAUCUGAGUCAUGACAAGAUCCUGAAAUUCUGCACGAUCUCAUUCUGCCUGUAAAUGCCCUGGACUCAAUGGUAAGCAAACGUGAACUCUGGCCAGGCAGGCAGAAGCACUUUGUUUUCCAUUGUGUGGCGACACCAGCCUCCCAUUGCUUCUGACAAAGGCCUUCGUCAAGCCGGUGUGUCAUCGUUUGCGUUUGCCACGGCCGCAGCUCGCCGGCUGCGCGCGAAGACCCGCUCCCCGACUUGCCAGUAACUCUGGUCUCCCCGGGCGCGAGGCCAGGCCGGCCGGUCCACGCGGGAUGCAGCGCCACCUGCUGGAAGCCGAGUGAUAGAGCCGCAGACGGGACUAGACCGCGGAGACCAAAAAGACCAGCGCUGGGUGCCCUGUUGGCUUCGGGGCGACAGCCAGGCCUGACUGGAAGGAGAACAAAAACAGUAGCAGAAAUACGCACCGUUUAUCCAAACCAAUCCUCCAGGCUACAUGCCAUCCUUUCCUCUCUGCGGAGUGUGGUGUGGUGUGUGUCCACGCGCCCCUGUCGGGAGCUAUAUCAUGGUUGGACAUUUGGGUGUGUCUGUCUGUGAUCUCCUCCUCCUCCUCCUCCUUGCUGGAUUUGAAGGAAUUCUACAGCUGACAGAAGCCUCUCCAUCAAUUAUCCCAUUUAAUCUCCACUAUUCUGUACACGUAGAUAAAACAGUCAGCCUAAUAAACUGCCAGCACCCUGGCUCUCCUCGUAGAAUUACUCAUACCCUAACCACGUUGCAGGAUGACAGCUAACUAAUGAGCUUUCCCCUUUUCAAAAGACUUCGCCCACAUGGAAACAAAGACUGUCCCAAUCCCCCAGCCGGGGAGGACCGGCUGGCAGCAGGAGGCGAUCAAGGCUGACUCGGAGAUGAAGUCAAUUCCAGCCGGCCGUGGGGUGGAGCGGUCUGAUGUCAAGCGUCAACCCUUCCACGCGGCCGGGGGUGGGUAUGUCAGAAAACUCAGCGCGUCGGCAUGUGUGGGCUUCUGCCAGAAUCUCGUUGGCUCUUUAGAGAUUUGCUGGCGGAUGCCACAAUCACCAGGCGACUGUCCCAGCCUAAGAGGUCACUGACUGAAAACCAUGCGCAUCUGUUAAAGCAGAAGGCCGGAAAGACAAAGCAAGGAAGGGUGCUGCUGCUUUGGCAAUGUAGAAGUGUUUGCUGACAGUCCUAGGAACGCCAGUGACCCAGGCGAUGGAGUCUUCUGGAUUUUCCUGGCGACUGAAUAAUAAAUACUACAAUAUCCUGAGGACUCUUUUAUGCCAGGCAGUAGGCUAAGCACUUUACCUUUGGGGUUUUUUUUUUUUCCUGUAAUCCUCACAACUGCCCUAUAAGAUAAGCACUAUGAUCAACCCUGCUUUACAGAUGAGGAAACUGAGGCCCAGAGAGGUUAAAUGGCCUGUCUAAGGUUACACAGCUCAGAAGAGUAGAGGCAGGAGUCCAGGCCCGGUCUCGCUGGCCCAAAGACUAUGCUGCUGGUGUUUACUCUGCUGCUUCCCAGCUGUGAGGGCCCUAUAGGCCUUGAACUGUGCUGCGGUUUACUGUUUAUUUCAGGGCCAAAAUGACUCAGCAGCCACAUGACCACACCACUCGUUUUCCUGACCCCCUGCAUAUGAAAGCAGGGCUUGAGGAAAGGGCUUUCGUCCACUUUGUUUUGAGCCAGGGCAACAGACUGGAAAUGGUUGGAACAAAGAGUUCUGGGUCAGAGGUCAAGGGCAGUCUGGACUGUGACAGCAAAAACAAACAGGGCCUCUCACGGCGGCCGUCAGUGCCAUGUGGGGACCCGCAGGCUGGGCCUUGCACACACGUCUCCGAAUGGAAUGGACCGGGUCUGAAGGGCAGCCUGGCCUGUUCUUAGGUUGUGGGGGCAGGUGGGGAAAGCACUGUCCUGGAUUCGACUUCCAGUUCCACCACAUUCCUCAUGCCGCAUUCUGUGGAACUUGUGGGACAGAUGCAAGGAGCAGCAUAUGGCAGCAGCAUCUCUGAGAACUUCAGAGAUUCCAAGGCUUCUCAAUAUAAAGCGGCAAUAAUGGCACCCACCACACUGAAUUGUGGGGUAAUGUGAGCCAAAGUAUGAGAAAGUGUGGUUAUGCUCCAGGGCUCUGUAGAAACAGUUUUAUGGUUAUCAGUUCCCCAGCAAAAAAAAAAAAAGUACUAUUGUUCUCAUUAAUUCUGGCAUGCACUUGAAUGAGAAAUGGCAGAGGGAUAUUAUCCUGGCAGUCUUUGCCCUCUGGUGAAAGCUUUCUGGACAGAGGUACAUAGUUUGAAGUUUCCGGGAGGUAGUUUGACCUGGCUGGGUAAUCAGACGGACGUGUCCAUCAAAACCUAAGUUCACUUCCACCACAGGCAGUGCUAUCUUCUCCAUUAAGCCAACCAGUCCUAAGGGCAAAAGAAAAUGGUGCCAGGUUUACGUCUAAAGGCUCUGAGGGGCACUGGAUGGAUGAGAGGGAGAGAGAAGGGAAUGCUGAAGCCCGGUCCUCCCCGUGGGAGCAGGGAAGCUGAAUAUGCCAGCCUCUCCCCUUCCUGGGUUCCAGGGGAGCCCCAUUCCCUGGGGGAAACUGGCACUCUCUAGCUGGCUCAGGCCUCAGGCCUUCAGACAAAAGCCUCUUGUCUGGGAGGGCUGGGGGAUGCCACACAGCCACUUCUUCCUAACGUGAUGUUUGUUCUGAAUGUUAUCUAGGUCCUGAAAAGCGAUUUCCCUGAACUGACUUUAAAAUAUCCUAUAUGAUAAGUGGACAGUUGUCAGCAGCAUGUGCGUCUCCCAUUAGGGGAAUGGUUAAGGAGAGGCUGGCAUAUUCUACGCUGUUUAUGAGAGUUUAUCAACAGGUGGAGGAGGAGCGCCAUAACGUAAAGGAAGGCUUGCGUUAGGCUCUGACGUGAAAAUCAGAGAAAAAUGCUGCCUGCAGAAGCGUAUCAUGGUAGGAACUGACAUACGAAAGAUAACUGGUAAACCUAAUUGUCACAAUCUGUCAUGGUGAACACGGGAUCUCAUGCAUUUGUGAAAACCCAUGGAACUGAAUGACACAAAGAUAAAACUUAAUGUAAAUGAUGGACUUGAGUUAAUAACAGUGUUUCAAUAUUGGUUCAUCAAUUUAACAACUGUACCACCUAAUGCAGGAUAUUAAUGCUAAGGGAACCGUGUGUGGGGAAGGCUAUAGGAAAAAUAUUUGUACUAUCUGCUCAAUUUUUCUGUAAACCUAAAAGUCUUCUAAAAAAUGAAAUCUAUUACUUUUGUUAACAAACUAAAAAUAAAUGAAAAACUAGAUGGAAAUAAAUCAAAAUGCUUAAUAGUACUGUUUCUAGAUGAUGAAAUUAUGACCAAUUUUUUUAUUUUUACUUUUUGUAUUUUCUACAUUCUAAUUUUGUCUAUAUUUAUGUGUCACUUUAUCAAUCAGGUAAAACAAAUUGUACAGUUUUAAAAUCUUGUCUGAGGGCCUGUUCUCUGAGGCAGAAACUGUAUUUGCUCAAAGUGAUCUGUUGUCUAGUUCUCUCUACACAGUAGGAACUUAAUACAUUUUGCUAAUAAAACAUAAGCACCUUUGUGUUUUUGGUUUUUUUUGAGAAAGAUUAGCCCUGAGC
rnacentral:lncRNA from 1 species